rnacentral:lncRNA from 1 species
AAGUUUCAAAUUGACACUCUAGGCAAGCGGUGCCUGAGCCCGUGCCUGUCUUCAGAUCUUCACAGCACAGUUCCUGGGAAGGUGGAGCCACCAGCCUCUCCCUGGGCAAAGAGGCAGCGAAAUGGAGCUCAGAGCUUUUAGAGAAUAUGGGCCAGAAACAGGAAGGAGUCAGGGCCUGAUAACAGGAACCAGCGGACAGUGAACGCAGUGGAGGGCCAUUGGAGUCAGAGCAGCUGAGAGAUUUCAGGAGAAUAACUGGGAGAUGAAACAGGAAGCUCUAUGACACACUUGAUCGAAUAUGACAGACACCGAAAAUCACGACUCAGCCCCCUCCAGCACCUCUACCUGUUGCCCGCCGAUCACAGCCAGAAUGCAGCUGAAAGAUUCCCUGGGGCCUGGUUCCAACCGCCCGCUGUGGACUCUGAGGCCUCUGCAUUUGCGGGUGGUCUGCCUGUGAUAUUUUGGUCAUGGUCUGGUCAGGUCGGUUUCCCAUUUGUCUGGCCAGUCUCUAUGUGUCUUAAUCCCUUGUCCUUCAUUAAAAGCAAAACUAAA